GAAAUGCGAUAAGUAAUGUGAAUUGCAGAAUUCAGUGAAUCAUCGAAUCUUUGAACGCACCUUGCGCUCCUUGGUAUUCCUUGGAGCAUGCCUGUUUGAGUAUCAUGAAAUCUUCAAAGUAAAUCUUUUGUUAACUCAACUGGUUUCUACUUUGGUAUUGGAGGUCUUUGCAGCUUCACACCUGCUCCUCUUUGUUCAUUAGCUGGAUCUCAGUGUUAUGCUUGGUUCCACUCGGCGUGAUAAGUUAUCUAUCGCUGAGGACACUGUAAAAGGUGGCCAAGGUAAAUGCAGAUGAACCGCUUCUAAUAGUCCAUUGACUUGGACAAUACUUUUAUGAUCUGAUCUCAAAUCAGGUAGGACUACCCGCUGAACUUAAGC
rnacentral:misc_RNA from 1 species